UUCGCAAUGCCCGAAAGGGUGACGAAGCGACGUCGCGUGGGUGAUGAAGGCCCUUGGGUCGUAAAGCCCUGUCAAGAGUUAUGAAAGCAGCUUGCUGCUUGACAAAGGCUCUAAAGGAAGUCACGGCUAACUCUGUGCCAGCAGCCGCGGUAAUACAGAGGUGGCAAGCGUUGUUCGGAAUUAUUGGGCGUAAAGAGCGCGUAGGUGGGUUUGUAAGUCAGAUGUGAAAGCCUUCUGUUCAACGGAAGAAUUGCAUCUGAAACUGCGAGUCUUGAGUGUAGGAGGGGAGAAUGGAACUUCUGGUGGAGCGGUGAAAUGCGUAGAUAUCAGAAGGAACGCCGGCGGCGAAAGCGAUUCUCUAGUAUGUAACUGACACUGAGGCGCGAAAGCUAGGGGAGCGAACGGGAUUAGAUACCCCGGUAGUCCUAGCCGUAAACGAUGGGCACUAAGUAGAGGGGUUU
rnacentral:rRNA from 1 species